UACGUAGGGGGCUAGCGUUGUCCGGAUUUAUUGGGCGUAAAGAGCGUGUAGGCGGCCAGGUAGGUCUGCUGUGAAAAACUCGAGGCUCAACCUCGAGACGUCGGCGGAAACCAUCUGGCUAGAGUCCGGAAGAGGAGAGUGGAAUUCCUGGUGUAGCGGUGAAAUGCGUAGAUAUCUGGAGGAAUACCGGUGGCGAAGGCGGCAUCCUGGACCAUUACUGACGCUGAGGCGCGAAAGCUAGGGGAGCAAACGGGG
rnacentral:rRNA from 1 species